rnacentral:rRNA from 1 species
AUUGAACGCUGGCGGCAGGCCUAACACAUGCAAGUCGAGCGAGUGGCGGACGGGUGAGUAAUGUAUGGGGAUCUGCCCGAUAUAGGGGGAUAACUACUGGAAACGGUGGCUAAUACCGCAUACUAUCGGAUGAACCCAUAUGGGAUUAGCUAGUAGGUGGGGUAAAGGCUCACCUAGGCGACGAUCUCGAGCUGGUCUGAGAGGAUGAGCGGCCACACUGGGACUGAGACACGGCCCAGAGUCCUACGGGAGGCAGCGGUGGGGAAGAUUGCACAAUGGGCGAAAGCCGGAAGGCGCCAUGCAGCGUGUAUGAAGAAGGCCUUAGGGUUGUAGAGUACUUUCAGCGGGGAGGCGUUACCCGCAGAAGAAGCACCGGCUAACUCCGUGCCAGCAGCCGCGGUAAUUC